rnacentral:rRNA from 1 species
AUUGAACGCUGGCGGCAGGCCUAACACAUGCAAGUCGAGCGGAGCGGGGGACGGGUGAGUAAUGCCUAUGUAUCUGCCUGGGAGUGGGGGAUAAGGUCCGGAAACGGGCGCUAAUACCGAAUACUAUCACAUGAGCCUAGGGCGGAUUAGGUAGUUGGUGGGGUAAAGGCCUACAAAGGCGACGAUCCCUAACUGGUCUGAGAGGAUGAGCAGCCACACUGGAACUGAGACACGGUCCAGACUCCUACGGGAGGCAGCAGUGGGGAAUAUUGCACAAUGGGCGAAAGCCUGAUGCAGCCAUGCCGCGUGUGUGAAGAAGGUCUUCGGGUUGUAAAGUACUUUAAGUUGGGAGGCGUUACCCACAGAAUAAGCACCGGCUAACUUCGUGCCAGCAGCCGCGGUAAUAC